CACGCCCGCACCGCAACCUCCGCCCGCUCAUCCUGUAAAACAAAAACUGCCACGACCUCGGCCCGCUCCUCCAGUCCCCCGCCGGUCCAAUCGCCCACCACCGCCCGCUCCACUUGGCCUCCGUCUCCGCUGCUCGCACCUUGCCUCGUGCCGCUGCUCGCGGCCCCUUGCCUCUCCGGUGCCUGCACGCCGCCGUCGGGGACGUGGACGUGAACGCACGCGGGGUUACCGCCGGCGAACCAGCCAUGCGUGUGCCCGCGGAUUCCUCUGCCAGUUCGAGAUCUGCACUGGCCGCUGCUCGCCCCUUGCCUCGCCGCCGCACCCCUCAACUCACUCGCAUCGCCAUGCCUGCCCGGCAGGAGAUUGCUCCGGCCUCUGCCAGGUCGCCGCUACCGGGUACGUGGGUGGACGCGGGGCAAUCGGCCGCCAGCGAACGAGGACACGCAUGCGAGGCGCGCGGAGCAGCAGUGUCCUCCCUGCUGCCGGCGACGUCCUCUUGUCUCCUCCAUAGAGGAGGGACAUGGUCGUUAUUGUCGCUGCAGAGGUUGACAAAUAGCAGAAGAAGUGGGUCAGUUUGCAGCGGGGGAUUUGAUCUGUCAAUCUCUUUGAACAACAGAGACAUUCCGAUGACAGUGUAGCGCAUUGGCGGAUUGGAGGGCCCAGGGUUUGUUGCUGGGGGCAUUCAGCUUGUUGUGAUCUACGUGGAUUUCAAGUUGGACAAGAGCUACACACCGAGCAAGAUCUCCAUUGGGGCGGGCGACGGGUUCCACAAUCUCAAGAGAAUCAUUCAUUCACACAUCUAUGCUCCGAAUCGUGGUGUUGGCCAAUCACCUGAACGGGAGGGACACCCAUGUCCUACAGACCAAGAUAUGCGGGCCAUGACCUUAUAUAUGCAGAUCACUUUGGGUUUGCUACCAAGGUUCAGUUUGCAGUUGCUCUGCACACAUUGCUGAUGUGCGUGCCAACGCAGCUAUGCGGGUGAGGCAUUAUAUGGCCGGCAACAAGCGCAACCUCUCAGAUAAGACUACGAGUUCUUACGUAGUAUUACUUAAUCUCAAUGCAAGUUAUUGGUUCAGGAUUAUUUUUUGUUUUUCCCAUUCUUUGUUUUGACGCAACGCCACCAUGGAGUUCAUCGCCUACGACUUGCUACCUACACUCACACACACAUAUAUGAUCUACCCCGUCCUUCUGUGUACUUCCCCCUACUAUGGCAAUAGCACCGCCAGUAGUUGUAGUUCGCUGCUAGGUGGCCUUUCUAUCUUCAUCUUUUCCAUUGAUUUGCGGCCCCGACAGUGCUGGUUCCUCCCAGUGAUUUUAUUUUGUUAAGUAUUUUUAUAAUAGAUGUUCCUUUUUUAUCUAAAAAAAUUUAGGUACUAGCGGUCCAAGUGUUCAUCCUGAUUCUGUCCAUUUCUUCAGGGAAUUCUAGGAGGUCGUGGACCUGUGGUUAUCGUAUAUUGGUUUGGAGAUUCUUCACUUGACAAUUUGCAAUGACUAACGGGCCUGGAUUGAAGAUGCAUGAGGCAUCCCUGGAGAAUGGAGAUGAAUGAGGAAGUACUAAGAUAGUGAGAGAUGAGAUUCCAGCCUGGGUCCUGGUCCAAGAAAGAUGUUACGAAGUGGUAUGCCAAAACAAAAGCUAAUGUUUCCAUUCAAAUUAUGCAGUUUAGAAGGGAGGAGCUUGGUGGUGCUGGAGUUAAGGAGUACUACUGGUGGUGGGUUAGGAUAGUGUCGGUCGUUGUUUUCACAUGCUCUGUCUUCAGGUCCUCUCGCGAUGUCCUGCACCACUAGGAACCUCUCAUUCGCUCAUCGCCAUACACACUUCUACAUCGGCCGCUCAUGAUGAUCUAUAUUAUCCCCUUGUUGGGUUUGUUUAGCUUUUUGCAUGAUAAUUGUUUGAUUACUUAUACAUGGAGUAUUAGGUUGCGCUUUCUCCAAAGGUGUUGAUAUGAAAGCCUUUUUUCUGGUAGAUGUGGUUCAUUCCGCUUUUAAUAUCUUAUAAAGACUUCUAGCAUUUUAUCCUAAUGAUUAACCAACUAUUGAGGAGUUGGGCAUAUCUUUAUAAAAUAUAAAUUUUGGAUUACAUUCAUGAUACAGAUGUUGUUCUACCAUGUUCUAUUUUAUGCAUCAAGUGUUGACUAGCACUUUUUUUUGGAAAUGGUAUGUUGACUAGCACUGUCUCCACUACUUCCAUCUAUCCCUUUUGUUACCAUCUCCCAGUUAGGUUGAUUCCCAAUUCUCUAUUCCGGUUUAUCCCUCCUUAUUCUUGGGCAACUGUUAAGUUAGUGGUUGUGCUUUGCUCUAUAUUCCUUUAAGGUUACAGAAAUGUAGGUUCAUUUAGUCGGCAAGGUAGAUUCAGGAAACAAGUGUAUCUAAUCCAUUCAUUUAUAUCAUUGCUGAGAAAAUUGUCUUAGAUAACCUGAAUGUCCACCAAACAUUUAGAUAUUGCAGUGCUGUCUCAAGAGGUACAUCAUCAUCGCAUAGUUCCUUUCCUUAAUAUCUCCGUGUGGUUCAUUACUCCAUUUUCCUAUUGAAAGAUCUUUUAGUCAUGGUCAUAUUAUGCUUUUCGCAGCCACUAAAACUGGAAAUAACGACAAGAAAUUUUUGCGACAUUGACUGCUUCCUGCCAUGGCAUGGAAUCUUAUUGUUGUAUUUCUAUAAAACUCUAUCCCAUUGGAUUUGAGAAAUAGACUGUCGGCACCCUCUCCACUGCAAUCCAGCCGUUACCAAUCAGUUUGCAUCCUGCAUGGUGCUGCAGUAGAAGAGUACAGAAGAGAAACAAGAGGAGAAGCGACUCGGCAUCCCUACAGAUUUUGUAACCCCCCUUAGAAAAGAAAAAUUGAAAGCGUAUUGUGGUUUUUAGGAGACUUUCUCAUCGGCUGUUGAUUUGUUGUUUUCAUGUGUUGUUUGUUUUCUCUCAUAAGUUAAAUAGUUUAUUGGUGUUAUUUUUGUAAGAGAUCUCUUUUUGUAAUAUGAAGUGGGUACAACAGAGGAGCCAAGUAGUUAAUCAUUUA